rnacentral:lncRNA from 1 species
GGAAUUCUACACAACAUCCAGAACAUAUUUAAUGUAUGUGUGUGCGUGUCUUUCUCGUUCUUAUUGAGGCCUUAGCUACAUUCAUAUAUUGUAGCUAAAUUCAUUUAUUAUUGAAUGAAAUAGAUAACAUGCUAUUUUUUUCUCAAAAAAAAAGAUAUAAAGGUAUAUGUAAAGUUUUUAUUAUUUGUAGUUUUUGAUGUUUAGCUAUAACUAAU